rnacentral:rRNA from 1 species
UACGGAGGGUGCGAGCGUUGUCCGGAAUCACUGGGCGUAAAGGGCGCGUAGGCGGCACAGCAAGUCGGGAGUGAAAGCCCGGGGCUCAACCCCGGAAUGGCUUUCGAAACUGCUGAGCUAGAGUACAGAAGGGGCAACCGGAAUUCCCAGUGUAGCGGUGAAAUGCGUAGAUAUUGGGAAGAACACCUGAGGCGAAGGCGGGUUGCUGGGCUGAUACUGACGCUGAGGCGCGAAAGCCAGGGGAGCAAACGGG